GUGUAGAUAUGAACAGGUGUAGAUAUGAACAGGUGUAGAUAUGAACAGGUGUAUACAGGUGUAGACAUGAACAGGUGUAGAUAUGAUAAAGGUGUAGAUAUGAACAGGUGUAGAUAUGAACAGGUGUAGAUAUGAACAGGUGUAUACAGGUAUAGAUAUGAACAGGUGUAUACAGGUAUAGAUAUGAACAGGUGUAUACAGGUAUAGAUAUGAACAGGUGUAUACAGGUGUAGAUAUGAACAGGUGUAUACAGGUGUAGAUAUGAACAGGUGUA